UUCUAUGUAAAGGGGCCGUGUCGGUGGCCUUCAGGAACGGGCCGAGGGGUUGCCGCGCGCCCUGCGACGACGGCGUCCGGCUCCCGGCGCGGCCGAAGCGUGCGGCCUCAGGACAUGGCCGUUCGCAGGAGACCCUGACCGAGAGACGGCUGCCUGGCGAUGGCAGGAACUUCCCAGAUGGCGAGACGGCCUUCCUUGGCGUUCCAUGUGGAUCCUCCUCA